rnacentral:rRNA from 1 species
CCUACGGGUGGCAGCAGUGAGGAAUAUUGGUCAAUGGGCGGGAGCCUGAACCAGCCAAGUCGCGUGAGGGAAGACGGUCCUAUGGAUUGUAAACCUCUUUAGGCGGGGAGCAAUGCCGGGCACGCGUGCCCGGAGGGAGAGUACCCGCAGAAUAAGCAUCGACUAACUCCGUGCCAGCAGCCGCGGUAAUACGGAGGAUGCGAGCGUUAUCCGGAUUUAUUGGGUUUAAAGGGUGCGUAGGCGGAUUUUUAAGUCAGCGGUAAAAAGUCCGGGCUCAACCCGGGCCGGCCGUUGAAACUGGGGAUCUUGAGUGGGCGAGAAGUAUGCGGAAUGCGUGGUGUAGCGGUGAAAUGCAUAGAUAUCACGCAGAACUCCGAUUGCGAAGGCAGCUUUCCAAGCUAUUACUGACGCUGAGGCACGAAAGCGUGGGGAGCGAACAGGAUUAGAUACCCCAGUAGUC